AAAGAAACCAACAGGGAUUGCCCUAGUAACGGCGAGUGAAGCGGCAACAGCUCAAAUUUGAAAUCUGGCCUUCUGGUCCGAAUUGUAAUUUGUAGAGGAUGCUUUGGGCGCGGUGCCUUCCGAGUUCCUUGGAACAGGACGCCUUAGAGGGUGAGAGCCCCGUACGGUUGGACACCAAGCCUAUGUAAAGCUCCUUCGACGAGUCGAGUAGUUUGGGAAUGCUGCUCUAAAUGGGAGGUAAAUUUCUUCUAAAGCUAAAUACCGGCCAGAGACCGAUAGCGCACAAGUAGAGUGAUCGAAAGAUGAAAAGUACUUUGAAAAGAGGGUUAAAUAGCACGUGAAAUUGUUGAAAGGGAAGCAUUUAUGACCAGACCUUUGCUAGGUGGAUCAUCCGGUGUUCUCACCGGUGCACUUCGCCUAGCUUAGGCCAGCAUCGAUUUCUGUAGGGGGAUAAAGGUCUAGGGAACGUAGCUCUCUACGGAGAGUGUUAUAGCCCUGGGCGUAAUACCUUUACGGGGAUCGAGGUUCGCGCUUCGGCAAGGAUGCUGGCAUAAUGGUCAUCAAUGACCCGUCUUGAAACACGGACCAAGGAGUCGAACAUUUAUGCGAGUGUUUGGGUGUUAAACCCUCACGCGUAAUGAAAGUGAACGGAGGUGAGAGCCCUUAAGGGUGCAUCAUCGACCGAUCCUGAUGUCUUCGGAUGGAUUUGAGUAAGAGCAUAACUGUUCGGACCCGAAAGAUGGUGAACUAUGCGUGGAUAGGGUGAAGCCAGAGGAAACUCUGGUGGAGGCUCGCAGCGGUUCUGACGUGCAAAUCGAUCGUC
rnacentral:rRNA from 1 species